CCGAGGAGGGCUGCACACCUUCUUGGAUUAAAACGUGAACGAGGCAAGCACGUAUUCCGUUUGUCUCUAGUCUAAAAUACUAGCAACCCGUUAACCUACUGCCACAACGUAAACACACAGCACACUCGUACACACCUGGCAAUCUGUGCGUUUGUUCAAACUUUUUUAAGUUGACACGUUUGGGUGGGGAGGCAGCUGGGCAUCAGAAAGGAAAUGAUGGGGAGUCGAUUUGACUGAGGAGAGGGGCAUCAAAUGAGGAUAUUGAUUGGAAGGGAACGUAAACGGACAUGUCCAGAAAGUGGAUGGAAAAGUGCAGCUCUAACUUUCAUUUCAGCUGGUCUAUAAGACUUUAAAUAUUCUUUUGAGAUUUACUGUCUUCACAGUAUAAACUCUGUCAGGGUGAAUUUCAUGGUCGAGUGAAAACCCCCGAAAAUGUCCAGUGGCUCCUUGGACUUUCACUUCUUUGUGGCAUUCAGACAGGCUUUUCUCUUGUGUCCCCAUGCUGAAAAUCCUAUUAAUUUCUGCUGUGUCCUUUUAAAAACACCAUUAAUAGGCAGCACCAGAGCCCUUCAGCACUAAUCACCUUACAACUCCCGUACAAAUCCAGUUUGAACUGCUAAUUACAGGUACUAUACAUCUAUUGCAGUUCUACUUUGGAAGAGCAAAUUCCCUGGCACUGACAGCCCCCUGUUAUGAACUGCAUUUGUCACAUAUUUUCACGAUAGAGAAAAAAACAUUCUAAUCAUUCUCAUUACUGACACAUUUGCCUGUCUUUGCUCGGAAGAUUGCAAUACAGGUACAGUGUUAUUUACAGAAGGCAGUCGAGAGUUAUGUGCAGACGAAACAAGGAUGAGUGGAACAGCUUGCAUCAUUGCCAUUAAAUGGCAAAGAACUUGAAGGUGCAGAGAUUAGAGGCCUGUGGGUUAGUGCUGCAAUACAAGUCUCUCCUGGUCCAGCUGCUUAUGUGUUCACUGCAUUGCAAGUUUGUCCAUGAUAAGAAUGCCUGACAGGCCAUUUGGAUGCAGUAGAUAUCCUUUAGGUACAAAUAGUCCAUCCAGUUCCAGACUGUAGGCCUGAAGGAGGAAGACAACUGAAUUUGUCUGAAGUGACCUUGACUCUGAAUGUUAUCAACCAUGUCUGUAGAAGUGAUGUUAUGCAUAUUAGCUAAGCAGGUUGUGAUGUAAGGGUUGCCUAUAUAUAUAUUCCCAAGAUUUGGCAGUGCACAUGUAGCCUUGAGGAGAGUGCUUCCAGGUGUAUAAAUACAAUAUAUGCAAUUUAAACUGUGAGUUGUCAUAGAGGUCUAAAAGGUCAAUAGAAGACUCAAACAAUAAUAUAAACA